rnacentral:rRNA from 1 species
UACGGGGGGGGUAAGCGUUGUUCGGAAUUACUGGGCGUAAAGGGCUCGUAGGCGGCCAACUAAGUCAGACGUGAAAUCCCUCAGCUUAACUGGGGAACUGCGUCUGAUACUGGAUGGCUUGGAUUCGGGAGAGGAAUGCGGAAUUCCAGGUGUAGCGGUGAAAUGCGUAGAUAUCGAGAGGAACACCUGCGGCGAAGGCGGGUAGCUGGGCCGACACUGACGCUGAGGCGCGAAAGCUAGGGGAGCGAACGGG